AAGUCGUAACAAGGUUUCCGUAGGUGAACCUGCGGAAGGAUCAUUAUUGAUUGUGAAUCGUUGCCUUCAGUGCUGGCCCCGGCAAGUGCACGUUGGUGACUUUCAUCCAAUACCCUUGUGAACCUCUGGCCUCUUGCUAGCUUCGGCUGGCAGAGGAUUUUUACACACACUCGAAUGUAAUGAAACCUAUUGUUGUGCGCAAGCACUAAUGUACAACUUUCAACAACGGAUCUCUUGGCUCUCGCAUCGAUGAAGAACGCAGCGAAAUGCGAUAAGUAAUGUGAAUUGCAGAAUUCAGUGAAUCAUCGAAUCUUUGAACGCACCUUGCACCCUUUGGCAUUCCGAAGGGUAUGCUCGUUUGAGUGUCAUUGUACUCUCACACUCUCCAAUCCUCUGGAUCUGGGGAGUGGUGGACUUGGGCGUCUGCUGCUUGACUGUGGCUCGCUUUAAAUGGAUUAGUGCAACUCUUGGUUGGACAUAGUACGGCGUGAUAAGUGUCUUCGCCGGCACCUCGGAAGAGGGUGACUGAUUGAGAGCUCUGUGCUUCAAACUGUCUUCGGACA
rnacentral:rRNA from 1 species